AGAGUAGCCUAACCUUUUGCUGGUGACUCCGGGAACCUAUUAGAAAAUGAAUGGUGGUGCUGUUUCAGUUUUCCUUUCAGCCUUUCAGUUAACUAAACACUUACAUCUGAUCAUUGUCACUUAGUUUUUCAAAGCACAGGUGUUUUCUCUUACCCUUCUUUCUCUGCCUCAGUCUCUCCCCUGCUUUUCUCCUUCUCUCCCUCUGUCCCCUACUUCUCUUCUUCCUAUAUUCCUCUACACUUCCUCUCUCCUUCUCUCUCUCGCCUCCCUUCCUCCCUCUCCUCCCUGCCCCCCAACCCUUUCCCCUUCUCCCUCUCUCUCAGUGAAUAUCACCAUUUCCCAAUAUAAUUGGGCUUGUCCAGUUCGACUUGUAGAAUAUUGGAGAAUUUCAGCUUGAACAUAUACUCUGAGCAGGAGUGGUAAGAAAUGUGACUGUUUAGCUCAAAAAUUAAUAGCUUGAAAUCAGUGAAGCCACUGUCACAUGCUCCAUCUUUGUAAGCACCACUGCUUUUCCUUUUUUCUCCUGUGACAUGGGGGGAGGUGGGAUGGGAGGGUACACAGUAAUCCCACUAUCCUCUGAUGGCUCAGAAUAAGGAGAAAAGAGGCAUUAAUGGCUCAUGAAUGUGUGGAUGCACAACUCUAAAUAAGUACCACUUACGACUGUCUCCUAGUAUGACUAUGACUUCUCUGUUUUAGUUCCCAUCUUUGAGACUACAAGUAGCUCAGAUUCGAUUUUGAUAGUCGCACAUCCACAGUAUAAUUUACUUACAUAACAGGUGUUCCUGAAGAUAAGUAAAUGUAACUUAUUCCUACUAACUUCUAUAAUUUAAAGAAUAAAGCUUCUUUUGUAUUAUAUAAUUAUUAGAUUAUAUAUCUAAUUAAUUAUUAGUAGAAGAGAAAAAAAAUCAUCCAUGAACCAUCUCCUAGGAACAGAUGACCAAUAUUGAUAGUUUCUUGGAUUUCUUUAUAGGCAUUUUUGUCUAAGGUUUUUCCUUUUAUCUGCCUGUUUUACUUAGUUGUGAUCAUGCUAUAUGUAUCAUCUUUAGUCCUGUUGUUUGCACUUAAUAUCAUGUCAUGUGUUUUCAAUUGUUAUAAACUUUUGUAAACACAUUUAAAUACUGCAUAAUGUUCUUUGGAAUUUACAUAGCAUAAUUUAACCAUUCUCCUCAGUUUUUGAAAACUACAUGUGGUAUUUUCAAGUUGCUUGCUUUUAUAAACAAUGCUUUGACAAAUAUCUUUGCACAUAUGACUUUUUCCACAUUGAGGUGAUAUUUCCAGAAAUAAAGUUAUGAGAUUAGGAACACCGUGUAUGUUAUUUUAAAUUCACAAGGCUGUGUGAGUGAAGACAUUGUUUUGUUUGUCUGUUGUUGUUGUUUACAUUUUUUAUUUGGAAAUCGUUUCAAACUUACUGAAAAGUUGCAAAAAUAGUACAAUGUAUACCCGUAUUCAUUUUACACGGAUUCGCCUCUUAUUGACAUUUUGUUCCAUUUGCUUUAUCAUUUGUGUCUGUGAACUCUCCCUCUGUCUUUUUCACUCCUUCCUUCUUUAUCUUUUUCCCUUCCAUCUUUCUCUGUGCAUUUUUUCUGAACCAUUCUAGGAGGAGAAAGGUAUUAGAAACCAAUAUUGGGGUGCUAGGUGUGCUGCUUACUAACAGGGUAGAUUUGAUUCUAGGCCUUUUUUAGGAGACAGGAAAAAUAAUAUACACACACAUGCAUGUGUGCAUACACAAGCACAUAUUUUAGGAAUUGUUUUUAUCUUUCCCAUCUUUGUUUAUUAAUUUUAUUUUUUGAAUAUGUGGAACACUAAUAUGCUUUCCAAAUUCAAAACUCUGUAUAAAGGUAUACUGAGACAUGUAUUACUGCUAGAAGUUGGUCAUUUAUUUAUAGCAAAUGGGGUUCAUCUCUUCAAGUUUAAAAUGAUCAACUUUAUUUUUUAAUCAAGCAUACUUAUUAGAUAUUCAAAGAGAAGAAAAGCAACCCUUGAUUCUUGUGACCAGCCUUAGCUUUUUGUAUAGUAGAAAAUAAGAGAUGUUUGGUUCACAGAUAAGGCAAGUGACAGGCACUUCACGACAGAGGCUUGCUUAGCCCCUUUGUCUGUGUACAAUGGGUUAUGUUCCCUGCUUCCAUACACUGUUGCUACUUGGUUGUUGUUGUUGUUUUUAUAUUUUACUUCUUGAUGCUAGCUUACUGGUGAUAAAUUUCAUUAGUUCCCACUCUUCUAGUUUAACUUUGAAAACAUCUUUGAAUAGUGGGUAUAUCAACUAUAUGCAUUUUUCAAGGGUUAAGCUCUUGAUCACAUGUUGCUUUGGUUGAAUGUUUGUCUCCUCCAAAACUCAUGUUGAAACUUAAUUCCCAGUAUGGCAGGCAGUAUUGAGAGGUAGAGCCUUUAAGGGGUGACUGGGUCAUGAGGCUCUGCCCUCAUGAAUUGAUUAAUCUAUUCAUGGAUUAGUGGAUUAAUGAGUUAUAGACUAAUAGGUUAUAAUAGAAGUGUAGAACUGGUGGCUUUAUAAGAAGCGGAAGAGAGAUCUGAGCUAGCGGACUCAGCCCCUUCACCAUGUGAUGCCCUGAGCCGUCCUGGGACUCUGCAGAGAGUUCCUUCAAACAAGAAGGCUCUCACCAGAUGUGGCUCCUUGACCCUGUACUUUUCAG
rnacentral:lncRNA from 1 species